AACUAUGCCUGUGGACUAUGAACUUCACAUGUGCUUCUCAGUUUUCAUCUGCCCCCUUAGGUGGGACAGGAUGAUAGAAUGAGCUAGAGUUAAGUAUUUUCCUUCUUCCACAUGGAAAGCUAGAGGGGCUGGAGAUAUUUUUUUUUUCCCCCAGGUCACUUAGGCUCUGAUAAAACUUCAGCAGGUUGGGCUCCCUUAAAUAGUUACUCCUGAGAGCAGGUCUUGCUAAGAAGAAAAUGCUCUGGUGUAUUUCAAAAUGGUUCGUUUUUCUUUCUCCCUGACAAAAGCAUGAAGAGAUUUUUUUUCCCGGGAAUUUACUGUGAGGCCCUGGUCAAACUCCUGGAGGUAAAAUUCAUGAAACUGUGGGAACUGCGUUGGCUGGGUUCCCCGGAAUAACUCUCAGGCUUGUUCACAACUUAGCUUCCGGCAAUUCAUCAAUUACAGCGCAGGUUUUCCUGUGCCAGCACUGAUUCCGGCAGUGGUUUCUGCUCUUGAGUUUCUCCUCUGGUAUUUUAACAACUUGCAAAACCCCUAUCUGCAAUACUCAAGAAGACUAAUUUCAGAAUACUUAUCUGUGAAGCUGGAAAGCCAAAAUGAGAUUUCAGAGCCCUCACAGUGCUGGAGGAACAAAGUUGAACUUUAAGCUCAGCCAGGGUGCAGUGUACUAGGUUCCUCAUCUAUAAAAUGGAGAUAAUAAAAGAACCUAUUUCAUAUGGUUCAUUACCCCACCAAAUGAGCUAACCAAUGAGAGGAACUUAAGAAAACUCCUAACACAUGGCUUUUGGUAACCCAUAGAAGUAUUUGAUCAGAGAUAUGAAAUAAUCAAUGCAAUUGUUUAAGAAGAUCAUCUGACAGUGGUGUACAGAUAUAUUGGAGUAAAAUAACACACACCAGUGAGAUGAGGUGGGAAGCAAGAACAAUUGUCCCCAUGAGAGACAAAUGCAUUAACAGUGGAAGCUGCUGAAAAGAUUUUCCAUUCAUGGAUUUUAAUGAGAAAGGAUGAAAAAUCAAAGUAGUUUUAAGGAUUAAGCAAAGGAUUGGGAGUCUAUUCAAAAUGCCACAUUACAUUUGGAUGCCAUGUCUCCUUAGGUUCCUGUGGGCUGUGUCAAUUUCUGUGACAUUUUUGAUGAUGUUGACACUUUGGAAGACUAUUGAAGAAUAAAUGUGAACAAACGAAGAAAUACCAGGAAUGAGCUUGCAUAGAGGAAAAACCAUGUGAAGACACAGCAAAAUGGGAACAAUUCACAAGCCAAGGAGAAAGUUUUCAGAAGAAACCAAACCUGCCAACAUCUCAGUCUUGUACUUCUAGCUUCCGAGAAUGAAAAAAAAUAAAUUUCUAUUGUUUAAGACACCGAAUGGUAUUUUGUUAUGAAAGUUCUAGCACACUAAUACAGAAAGUUUGUAAUAUUUACUUAUUAUCCUUUUACUAUUCAUGGGAUCAGUAGCAACAACAUGCUAGUCCACAUU
rnacentral:lncRNA from 1 species